UGGGGAAUAUUGCACAAUGGGCGCAAGCCUGAUGCAGCCAUGCCGCGUGUAUGAAGAAGGCCUUCGGGUUGUAAAGUACUUUCAGCGGGGAGGAAGGGAGUAAAGUUAAUACCUUUGCUCAUUGACGUUACCCGCAGAAGAAGCACCGGCUAACUCCGUGCCAGCAGCCGCGGUAAUACGGAGGGUGCAAGCGUUAAUCGGAAUUACUGGGCGUAAAGCGCACGCAGGCGGUUUGUUAAGUCAGAUGUGAAAUCCCCGGGCUCAACCUGGGAACUGCAUCUGAUACUGGCAAGCUUGAGUCUCGUAGAGGGGGGUAGAAUUCCAGGUGUAGCGGUGAAAUGCGUAGAGAUCUGGAGGAAUACCGGUGGAGAAGGCGGCCCCCUGGACAAAGACUGACGCUCAGGUGCGAAAGCGUGGGGAGCAAACAGG
rnacentral:rRNA from 1 species